CAGUGUCCCCAUGUCUCCCAGUGUCUCCCAGUGUCCCAAUGUCACUAGGACGCUAGGGGACACUUAGAGACAUUGGGACACUGGGAGACAUGGGGACACU
rnacentral:miRNA from 1 species